rnacentral:rRNA from 1 species
UAAUACGUAGGGUGCAAGCGUUAAUCGGAAUUACUGGGCGUAAAGCGUGCGCAGGCGGUUUUAUAAGUCUGAUGUGAAAUCCCCGGGCUCAACCUGGGAACUGCAUUGGAGACUGUAAGGCUAGAGUGUGUCAGAGGGGGGUAGAAUUCCACGUGUAGCAGUGAAAUGCGUAGAUAUGUGGAGGAAUACCGAUGGCGAAGGCAGCCCCCUGGGAUAACGCUGACGCUCAUGCACGAAAGCGUGGGGAGCAAACAGGAUUAGAUACCCUGGUAGUCCACGCCCUAAACGAUGUCUACUAGUUGUCGGGACUUAAUUGUCUUGGUAACGCAGCUAACGCGUGAAGUAGACCGCCUGGGGAGUACGGUCGCAAGAUUAAAACUCAAAGGAAUUGACGGGGACCCGCACAAGCGGUGGAUGAUGUGGAUUAAUUCGAUGCAACGCGAAAAACCUUACCUACCCUUGACAUGGCAGGAAUUCCGAAGAGAUUUGGAAGUGCUCGCAAGAGAACCU